CAAGCUGUCCGGAUCCAGUCAGACAACGCCACGGCGGUGGCAUACAUCAACCGUCAGGGAGGCACCAGAAGCACUCUAGCAAAUCAAGAGGUGGCCCUCAUCCUGGAAUGGGCAGAAAGAACGACAACCCAGAUAUCCGCAAUCCACAUUCCAGGAGUGGACAACGUGGAAGCCGAUUUCCUCAGCCGUCACCAUCUCGACCCCGGCGAAUGGGAACUGCACCAGGACUCAUUUCAGUUGCUAGUAGCCAAAUGGGGAUGGCCGCAGAUCGACCUCAUGGCAACCAGAGAAAAUCGGAAGGUGCCCACCUUCUUCGCACGGCGCAGAGACCCUCUGGCGGCGGGCAUAGAUGCCAUGACCAUGCCCUGGCACUUUCGACUGGCGUAUGUAUUCCCUCCACUUCCCAUGCUACCUCGAGUGUUAAGAAAAAUCGCCAGAGAUCCAGUCACAGUGAUUCUCGUGGCACCUCUCUGGCCCCGGAGGUCAUGGUACUCCGCUCUCCUCGAUCUGUCCUUGGAGCCUCCUGUACCACUGCCUCCGUCUCCUCAGCUGUUACGUCAAGGUCCAAUUUUUCACCACAACCCUCAGUUCUUUGCCUUAACGGGAUGGCUCUUGAGGCGGCAGUACUAAGACAGAAAGGGUUUUCGGAAGACGUCAUUCACACCAUGAUCAAAGCACGAAAACCGGUCACCUCCAAGGUCUACCACAGGGUGUGGGAAACAUACCGUUCCUGGUGUAGCGCAGAGGAGGUUCCCUUUGGAGUUUUCAGACUUCCCUGGAUUCUGAAGUUUCUUCAAACAGGGCUGGACAAAGGCCUCAGCCUCGGCUCUCUCAAAGCUCAAAUAUCUGCUCUAUCCAUCCUUUUCCAGCAGCGGAUUGCUCUGGAGGAAGAUGUUCGGACCUUUCUUCAGGGCGUCGCCCGUGUGUCACCUCAAUUCAGGCAACCCCUGCCUCCAUGGGAUCUGAAUUUAGUUCUGUCGGCUCUUCUCGAUCCUCCCUUCGAGCCACUCGCUGAUGUGGGGUUGGACGUUCUCACAUGGAAGACGGCAUUCCUGGUGGCAAUCUCCUCGGCCAGGCGAGUGUCAGAGCUCGGGGCACUAUCCUGUGUGGAACCAUUCCUCGUUUUCCACGAAGAUAAGGCUGUUCUUCGUACUGUUCCCGGCUUCCUUCCCAAGGUGGUCUCUGCCUUCCACAUCAACGCGGAGAUCAUUCUACCUUCGUUUUGUAACAAACCGUCCAACGACAAGGAAGCGCGCCUGCAUCGCCUGGAUGUGGUCAGAGCUCUCAAAUCCUACGUCUCCGUCUUCGGAAGACUGACUCUCUCUUCAUUGUUCCUUCUGGGCCCCGGAAGGGCCUCCCAGCCUCCAAAACCACCAUUGCUCGUUGGAUCAAAGAGACAGUGAGACGUUCCUACCUGGCGCGGAAGAGGACGCCUCCCAUUAAGCUUCGAGCUCACUCCACCAGAGCCCUCGGCACCUCUUGGGCUUUCAGAAAUUCGGCCUCAGCUGAGCAAGUGUGUAGGGCAGCUACUUGGUCCUCCCUGCAUACAUUCACGAAAUUUUAUCACUUUAAUACCUACAUGUCUGCAGAGGCAGCCUUCGGCAGGAAGGUUCUCCAGGCAGUAGUUUCCUGAUUUGUCAGAGUUCUCCCUCCCUACUGUGGGGGUGCUUUGGUACGUCCCCACGGUCCCUGUGUCCCCCUAGACGUGAGAGAAAAGAAAAUUUAUGUACUUACUGUUAAAUUCUUUUCUCUCCAGUCGUAAGGGGGACACAGGGCUUCCCCCCCUGAACUCUUGUUCUUCUGUUUUUUCUCCAUAGUGAGAGUGUGUUAUGCAGUUACGUUCCUGUUUUUAGUUCUUAGUUACAAACUGGCGCCCUCUGGGCAUGACAGGGGAUAAAGGGAGAGUGGGAGGGCUGUCAGCUCUGAUGUCAUCAGUGUCCUCCUCCUGAUGGGCGGGACCCUUUACCCCACGGUCCCUGUGUCCCCCUUACGACUGGAGAGAAAAGAAUUUAACAUUAUCGUACCAGAGAAGAAAUUCAGGAAGUAAGAAGUAAAAGUGAUCCGAUCACCCUUCUCAAGGACAGAAUGUUAAACAACAACCUGUCUAAUGUGGAGGAUUAAAGGAAAUUGAUGUGGAAGUACGGAAAGAGAUUGAGGAAGCUGCUCAGUUUGCUACCACCGACCCUGAACCUCCACUAGAAGAAAUUGCCAAUCACAUUUAUCGCAAUGAUCCCACCUUUGAUGUCAGAGGAGCAAAUCUCUGGAUCAAAUACAAAUCCGCCAGCUAAAUCUCUUCAGUCCUCCUCUGGUCAAUGUUACCUGUUACUUUAAGGGCAUUUUAAUGGGUGCUGGGUUAUGUUUGCUCCUCACUGCUGGGUUGAAGACGCACUGCAAUUCUUAAUGUCCCACCAGUAACAUCAUCCACUUUAGACUUUGUUUUAAUACAUAAGGACUUGGCAUGUGUUUGGAUAAGAAGAAAAUGCCUUAAUGUUUUCAGACCGAAAGCAGAUCUGCAUCCAUUUUAGUUCAGUGUAAUCAUUAGAGAGAACUCGUGCUUCAGGAGACCCCCUUUUCUUCCAUGGUUUUCCCUCUGAUUCUGGCUGGGCAAAGUUCUCUUAUAAUGUAAGUUAGAAGCUCCGCCUUCUUCAGAUGAAAUGUUAUAUAUAUAUUUAUAGGAUCCUGAACUUAAAGUCUUGCCAUUUAUACAUGUGCUGAAACAUUUAUUAUUCCGUUUCAUUAAAACUGACCUCAACACAAUGAUUGCUUUGUAUUUUUCUUAGCUCCUAAUAAACGUCAUCAGCAAUA